UCCGCUUGUUGCAGAUUCCACCAGUGAGCUUUGACUUCUCAGCAAUCUCUCUCUCAAGAGGCUUCCCAGAAAUCCAGCCGUUCAGCUCACCCCUGAAUGCACUUUGAGCAACUGGCUGCCUCUCCCGCUUCUGCUGGCAUGAGAACCUGGGACAUUGAAACAGGGAUGUGAUCGUCAUGUCUAAGGCUUUGGGAUGGCUCAAACUGCUUCCUCCCUUUUCUCCCUUCAGCUCCACAGAGAGGCAAUAACUAUGGAAGAGAGAAGUAAGUGAUGAUGCUCGUUAUAAAGACUCUACUGUCCUGCUGAAUAUCUCUAUGGUCU
rnacentral:lncRNA from 1 species